GAAUCACCCAGGGAGUAGGUCACUGCUGGAGGCUGGGGGCAGGGGAGUGACAUGAUUGGCUCCACGUUAUAGGCAGCUGGUGGCUGUUGUGGAAGAUGAAGGGAGGCCAGAGGAGAAACAGCAGGAAGGAUGGCAUCCAGUGAGAAACUUCAACACUCUGGGCAGCAGACAAAGAGUCGGAGCAAAUGGGGAGGAGGAGCUGUCCGUGCAUCUGGGGAAGCAACUGUACUUCCCUCAAGCAGAGGGAGGAAUCAGAAGAGGUGAUAAAAUCACAGCAUAAAGCAACUGGGAUAGCUUUGGCCACACCUGUACCACCAGCUCUGUUUCCUGAGAACAUUCAGCAAGUGAUAAAUGUUGGUGAUACAUGUUCUGCUCUUGGAGAAAACACAUUCUUCCCACUACACUUGGAAGUGUUUACCUCCAUUUUGUGGAUGACCAGUUGAACUCCAAAGCCAGGAAAUUCACCUGCAUCCCAGAGAGGAAGGAAGUGAUGCUCCAGGCAUGUUCUCCACCCAGCCUGUCCAACAGUGACAGUGAUGCCUAAUUUGCCAUUUAGCUCUGCAGGCUCUUAAUCCCCCAGUCACUGGCCAAGUCGCCUUGGGUAAUCUUUCUAUAGUUGGUGCUGUAACAACUACUCUGCUUCAAUUGCCACAUUCCAGCUUCCAAUUUCCAGUGGGUUAUGUGGACUCCAGCACCUACUAACAUAUUUGGCUUUUAACACAGCAAAACUCUGGGAGAAAA